GGGGUUGUGGCUCAGCGGUAGAGCACCCGCCUAGUGAGUGUGAGAUGCUGGGUUUGAUCCUCAGCACCACA
rnacentral:tRNA from 1 species